rnacentral:rRNA from 1 species
CAUGCAGUCGAGCGGAACGAGUUAUCUGAACCUUCGGGGAACGAUAACGGCGUCGAGCGGCGGACGGGUGAGUAAUGCCUAGGAAAUUGCCCUGAUGUGGGGGAUAACCAUUGGAAACGAUGGCUAAUACCGCAUGAUGCCUACGGGCCAAAGAGGGGGACCUUCGGGCCUCUCGCGUCAGGAUAUGCCUAGGUGGGAUUAGCUAGUUGGUGAGGUAAGGGCUCACCAAGGCGACGAUCCCUAGCUGGUCUGAGAGGAUGAUCAGCCACACUGGAACUGAGACACGGUCCAGACUCCUACGGGAGGCAGCAGUGGGGAAUAUUGCACAAUGGGCGCAAGCCUGAUGCAGCCAUGCCGCGUGUGUGAAGAAGGCCUUCGGGUUGUAAAGCACUUUCAGUCGUGAGGAAGGUGGUAUAGUUAAUAGCUGUAUUAUUUGACGUUAGCGACAGAAGAAGCACCGGCUAACUCCGUGCCAGCAGCCGCGGUAAUACGGAGGGUGCGAGCGUUAAUCGGAAUUACUGGGCGUAAAGCGCAUGCAGGUGGUUUGUUAAGUCAGAUGUG